rnacentral:misc_RNA from 1 species
GUGAAUCAUCGAAUCUUUGAACGCACAUUGCGCCCGCCAGUAUUCUGGCGGGCAUGCCUGUUCGAGCGUCAUUUCAACCCUCAAGCCCCAGCCGGCUUGGUGUUGGGGACCGGCCCCGGCCGCCCCCCAAAUGCAGUGGCGACCUCGCCGCAGCCUCCCCUGCGUAGUAGCACAACCUCGCACCGGAGCGCGGAGACGGUCACGCCGUAAAACGCCCAACUUCUCAGAGUUGACCUCGGAUCAGGUAGGAAUACCCGCUGAACUUAAGCAUAUCAAUAAGCGGAGGA